rnacentral:rRNA from 1 species
UACGUAGGGGGCAAGCGUUAUCCGGAAUGAUUGGGCGUAAAGCGUCCGCAGGUGGUUGUGUGUGUCUAUUGUCAAAGCAUCAUGCUUAACAUGAUAAAGGCAGUAGAAACUACACGACUAGAGUGCGUUCGGGGCAGAGGGAAUUCCUGGUGUAGCGGUGAAAUGCGUAGAGAUCAGGAAGAACACCGGUGGCGAAAGCGCUCUGCUAGGCCGCAACUGACACUGAGGGACGAAAGCUAGGGGAGCGAAUGGG